rnacentral:rRNA from 1 species
UACGUAGGGCGCAAGCGUUAUCCGGAAUUAUUGGGCGUAAAGGGCUCGUAGGCGGUUUGUCGCGUCUGCUGUGAAAACCCGAGGCUCAACCUCGGGCCUGCAGUGGGUACGGGCAGACUAGAGUGCGGUAGGGGAGAUUGGAAUUCCUGGUGUAGCGGUGGAAUGCGCAGAUAUCAGGAGGAACACCGAUGGCGAAGGCAGAUCUCUGGGCCGUAACUGACGCUGAGGAGCGAAAGCAUGGGGAGCGAACAGG